CUAGGAUUAGAUACCCUAUUAUUUAAAAUGUAAAAACUAAAGUAUUAAUAGAUAUGAUCUUUAAAUUUAAAAAAUUUGGCGGUAUUUUAGUCUAUUCAGAGGAACCUGUUUUAUAAUCGAUAAUCCACGUUGGACCUUACUUUAAUUUUUAAAUUAGUUUAUAUACCGUCGUUAUAAAAAAUUUUAUAAGAAUAAUAAUUUUUAAAAUUUUAUAUCAGAUCAAGGUGUAGCUUAUAUUAAAGAAAAUAAUGGGUUACAAUAAAAUAAUUUAUAUGAAUAUAAAAAUGAAAAAUUUAUUGAAAGAGGAUUUGAAAGUAAAAUUAAAUAGAUUUUUAAUUUGAUUUUAGCUCUAAAAUAUGUACAUAUCGCCCGUCACUCUUAUUAUGAAAAUAAGAUAAG
rnacentral:rRNA from 1 species